GCAGAGUGGCGCAGCGGAAGCGUACUGGGCC
rnacentral:piRNA from 4 species